rnacentral:rRNA from 1 species
CCCUUAGAUGUCCUGGGCCGCACGCGCGUUACACUGAUGCAUUCAACGAGCUUAUAACCUUGGCCGAGAGGCCUGGGCAAUCUUGUUAACGUGCAUCGUGAUAGGGAUAGAUUAUUGAAAUUAUUAAUCUUGAACGAGGAAUUCCUAGUAAACGCAGAUCAUCAAUCUGCAUUGAUUACGUCCCUGCCCUUUGUACACACCGCCCGUCGCUCCUACCGAUUUUGAGUGGUCCGGUGAACCUUCUGGAUUGUGCGGCUUGCCGCGCGAGAAGUUAUGUAAACCUUAUCACUUAGAGGAAGGAGAAGUCGUAACA